rnacentral:lncRNA from 1 species
AGAUCCUUGCUUACCUGUGGCCUUCUGAAGCUGAGGUCUGCUGCUGGUUGCCAGUGUAGUAAUGAGGAAAGUCACUGCCUUUCAUCCCAGAAUGCAAUAACUGAAUGACUCUCAACCAUGCACUCGUGAAACCUUGCUGUAACUUCUGCAUAUGAAACUCCAUUGACUCAUACUUUUAUAGUUUUCUCCUUGCUGUGAAGUUGAAAAUGGAAGAUUUGUAUUAGAAAGCUGAUGCAGAUCCGGUCCAAUCUAUCGUUCUGAUUUUUCAAACACCUGAGCCUGAAGUGGGGAAGCUUCUUCAUCUGUGUUCUUACACAACCUCUAUCAAGCAUCAGCUGGUCACAUGGGCAAGAUUUUCAAAAGUGGCCACUGAUUAUCUGUUUCCUUUAUAAUACAUGACUUUUCAGGUAGUACUGGCACUGAUUUUCUCAGUUAUAAAAUCAUAAGAAAGAGGGGCUGGAAGAAAAUUUGCAGUAGGGGACACAUAGAACUGGGACAAUCUGGAGCAAUGAAGAGGAGAGGGAAUGCAUAUAGCAGCUGGGAAAGUGGUGCGAGUGGAGAUGAAUUGGUGUCCAGUGUAAGGUGGUAUAUAGUCCCAGCACUUCUCAGAGCAUCCAACCCAUGCGCCAGCAUUUCUCUGACAAGAUUAAAUAACAAGUAAAGGUUUUCACAGUGAGAAUCCUAACUUUUCAUUUGAUUGGAUUUUAAUAAGGCAC